GUCAAAUCAUCAUGCCCCUUAUGACCUGGGCUACACACGUACUACAAUGGUCGGUACAAAGGGCAGCGAGGCCGCGAGGCGGAGCGAAUCCCAAAAAGCCGAUCCCAGUUCGGAUUGCAGGCUGCAACUCGCCUGCAUGAAGCCGGAGUUGCUAGUAACCGCGCAUCAGCAGUGGCGCGGUGAAUACGUUCCCGGGCCUU
rnacentral:rRNA from 1 species